AAAAUGUAGCUUAACAAAAGCGUCUGGCUUACACCUAGAAGAUUUCAGUCACACUGACCGUUUUGA
rnacentral:tRNA from 1 species